rnacentral:rRNA from 1 species
AUACGGAGGGUGCAAGCGUUACUCGGAAUCACUGGGCGUAAAGCGCGCGCAGGCGGCUAUUUAAGUUGGAUGUGAAAGCCUACGGCUCAACCGUAGAACUGCAUCCAAAACUAUUUAGCUAGAGUGUGGGAGAGGAAGAUGGAAUUAGUUGUGUAGGGGUAAAAUCCGUAGAGAUAACUAGGAAUACCAAAAGCGAAGGCAAUCUUCUGGAACACUACUGACGCUGAGGCGCGAAAGCGUGGGGAGCAAACGGGAUUAGAUACCCCGGUAGUCC